rnacentral:rRNA from 1 species
AGCAGUGGGGAAUAUUGGACAAUGGGCGCAAGCCUGAUCCAGCCAUACCGCGUGGGUGAAGAAGGCCUUCGGGUUGUAAAGCCCUUUUGUUGGGAAAGAAAAGCAUCCGGUUAAUACCCGGGUGUUCUGACGGUACCCAAAGAAUAAGCACCGGCUAACUUCGUGCCAGCAGCCGCGGUAAUACGAAGGGUGCAAGCGUUACUCGGAAUUACUGGGCGUAAAGCGUGCGUAGGUGGUGAUUUAAGUCCGUUGUGAAAGCCCUGGGCUCAACCUGGGAAUUGCAGUGGAUACUGGGUCACUAGAGUGUGGUAGAGGAUAGUGGAAUUUCCGGUGUAGCAGUGAAAUGCGUAGAGAUCGGAAGGAACA